CGAACGGUCGAGUAACACGUAACCGACCUGCCUUUGGGUCUGGGAUAGCCCUCCGAAAGGGGGAGUAAUACCGGAUGGUCUCUGUGGGGUGCAUGCCCUGUAGAGUAAAGCUUUAUGUGCCCAUAGAGGGGGUUGCGGCCUAUCAGCUGGUUGGUGAGGUAACGGCUCACCAAGGCGACGACGGGUAGCUGGUCUGAGAGGAUGGUCAGCCGGAUUGGGACUGAGACACGGCCCAA
rnacentral:rRNA from 1 species